rnacentral:tRNA from 1 species
UCCUCAAUAGCUCAGUUGGUAGAGCAACGGACUGUACUCUUAUAAUAAACAGGCGUUUGUCCCUGUUGGUUAUUUCAAGUCCAGGUUGAGGAGCCA